rnacentral:rRNA from 1 species
GCUCAGAGUAUAAGCCAAUGGAGCUUGGAAGGCUUCCGGCAGUCCCGUUCAUCACACGUGGUGUUCGCAAGACCUAAAGCAUGGUUCGUGAGGCGAAGCAUUGAGUUUGCCGACCAGCCGUCGUGCGGGGGUUCGGUUCGGGGGUCCUAGGUUUCGGCCUUAGGUGCUCCUGGCUGUCCCCUUUUGAAUGGACGUUCAGAGCUUUUGUGUCUAAUGCGGUUACGCCCACCACGGCACGUUGUGAGGUCACCCACAGGCUCAAACUGCCGAUCGCGCAUCCAGGACGAUGGCAACGAUGCGUUGUUCAGCUCUACCCGAGCAGUCACGCGUGUCUAGUCCUGGGUCGGGCGGCGACCGAGAUAAACCUGGUAUGAUCCUCAUGCGACGAGCUGCUUUCUGGCCAGACCGACGCCCAGGCGCUUCCACUGUGCCGGAAGCGUCAAACCCAGGCGGUGUGAACCCAGCUGCAUUCUGCAAGGUCUCUCAGCCGGGCGUUGGUCUGAGUGGUGUUAAGUCCAGCACCAUCGGUCACGUCUCGAAACACGGGCCAAGGAGUAUAGCAUGUGUGCAAGUCUAAGGGUCUCACAAAACCCGAAGGCGAAGUGAAAGCAAGACUGUGGCGGGGGAGCUACGGCGAACCCGCCGGCCUAGUGGCGCGUGCGUCGCCUGGCUUUUAGCAGAGCUGAUCCUGUUUUCUCGGUUAAUUCUUGGUGCAGGCGCAAGCUCCGGGCUCACGUACAACACUGGUCACGCCUCGUG